CAACGGCGUCGAGGUAUGACGUUGGGCGUAAAAGUAGAUUCCCGUUUGUGUUUGUGUGUGUCCCAUGAGCUCUUACUAGAAAUAGCUCAAGACGAUGCUUUUCAGUCACGAAGUACCUCUGUUGAAACUGGUUACGUACUUACUCGCUAUGCCACCCGCAUCAUGCCCAGUUCUUCGCUGCUGACAGAUUUUCCCGCCGAUCCCAGAAAGGUUCCCGAAUUCCCGCCCGAUUUAGAGAACGGUGACACAGCUGCGUUAUUUCAAAGCGUCCAAGGCCGGUGUGCUGUAAUGAGCACCGUGUCUCUAACUACUUCCACUUACUCAUCGAGCUCUGAGAAGCUAAGCAAAACGGACUCCACCACGUUGUCCAAGAAGAAAGAGGAACUGCUUCGUAAUUUUACGAGGAGUUACAGCCUGACGAGCAACAACGAAGCACCUUUCAAGCUCAGCUCUGGUGACCGGAGGUUUUCCUUCGAUGAUAUUUUGGAUGAGAAAGAAGAGGAUCUGAGACCGGAGCGUACAGCUUCUUUAUCGCAAUUAUUAGAUUUAGAAGGAGUCCACGUAGAACACAAAAGUCAAGACACUGUGCGCCAGUCAUCUCGAACUUCGUCCAUGGAAACCAUGUCCAGUGGUGAUAAUAGGACACGGAUCUUUGCCAAAAAGAAAAUUAUGCACGACAUUUCAUCAUCGCUGUCUUCUCUCUCGAAGGUGACAAUAUCCUCUAAAGCAUUUAGCAGUCAGUCCACUCAGUCAGCUCAAAAUUUGAACCAUACAGGUACAAAUGAAACUAAAAGCUGUCCAUUAUCUCAGGUUUUUCAGCGAUCUAAAAAUAGUCCUACCUCCAAGACGGGCUCUAAUCGACCUCCUCAGGCACCAAAAGCAGAUAAGCUUCAGGAUGAUUUUGACUUAUUAGCGAAAGCUGUUGAAUCUCCUGAUCAGGAGCUGGCUAUGGGUCGCGUGAUAGCACGUAUGGAUGCUCUCAUCGAUAACCUGAAAAAUGCGAUCUGUAAGAAAGAAGAGCUGGAUACACUCUACUUGAUGAAUGACCUCAUAAGAAAAUCUUGGGCUGUCAGCACUGUAGGUUAUGACUUGGGAUCUAGUCUCUGUAAAAGCCUCCUGAAUAAAGGUGGCAUUGAACUGCUGCUUAACAACUUCACUUCUGAGGAUGACGCCAUUAAAUUUGAAAGUGCACGUUUACUGGAACAAACGCUGACUACUGAUGUCCGUUCUUACAUUGCCACGAAAGAUCUCUCAACUGUUGUCCAAGUAGCAUGCGAAUGUUCCACAUCUCCUUGCGUUGAGAAAACUCGAGUCGGGGCAGGCAUUCUGGAGCACCUUUUCAAGACAGAAGAACACACUUGUGAUGAGGUGAUUCGUCUGGGUGGCCUAUCUGCCAUCCUCUACGAGUGCAGGAACAUGGAUAUUGAAACAUUGAGGCACUGUGCCGCAGCUUUGGCAAACCUGUCAUUACAUGGGGGCCAUGAAAACCAGGAGGCCAUGAUACAACACAAAGUACCAGAAUGGCUGUUUCCACUUGCUUUUCAUACGGACGACAACAUCAAAUAUUAUGCAUGCCUGGCCAUUGCAACACUUGUUGCUAACAAAGAAAUUGAAGCCGCAGUAUUGAGGUCCGGAACACUAGACCUCGUCGAGCCCUUUAUUACUACUCAUUCUCCAGCUGAGUUCGCUCAAAGUACCGUUGCUCAUGUACAUGGACAAUCCAAGACUUGGCUAUUGAAACUAAUACCCGUCCUCAAUAGCAAAAGAGAAGAAGCCAGAAGUUUAGCAGCUUUCCAUUUUGCCAUGGAAGCUGGCAUAAAAAAGCGACAAGGAAAUACAAGUCUGUUCCGUGAGAUUGGGGUAAUCAACUGUCUGAAGAACGUUGCUAGUUCUCCAAAUGCUCUUGCCUCUAAAUAUGCAGCACAAGCUCUGCAACUCAUAGGAGAACCCGUGCCCCAUAAGUUGUCCCAACAAGUGCCUUUGUGGACAGUCGAAGAUGUUGUCGAGUGGGUAAAACAGAUUGGCUUCUCUGAAUACACUCAGGAAUUUCUGAAUAGCAGAGUAGAUGGUGAUUUACUCUUACAAAUGACAGAAAAGUCCUUAGAAAAUGACAUAUGUUUAGCAAAUGGACUGCUAAGGAAAAGGUUCCUAAGGGAUCUGAACCAACUCAAGUGCUUGGCUGACUAUUCUUCAUGUGAUACAACAUCUUUGAGCUCUUUCCUACAAAGUACCGGACCUGAAUUCUGCCAAUAUACCUAUCAGAUGCUGCUGAGUGGUGUCCAAACAGACAGUCUCAGGGACCUCGUUCCAGAGCAGUUGGAAGAGGAAUGUGGCAUCACCAACAGUAUCCAUAGAAUGAGGCUGAUGCGGGCCAUCAAAGGUGAAAAAAUUAAGAGGACAAUGGGAACACAGUUUGCGCGUCGACAUGAAUCCCCUUGCGAAUUCAAACUUUAGGCUUGAGUUGUAACCGUAACGGCCUUGACUCUGGUGAAGAACUGAAUCCUAAAAGUUUGGAUGUAUUCAUUAGCUACCGGAGAUCAAAUGGAUCACAGUUAGCGAGUUUAUUAAAAGUCCAUCUACAACUCCGAGGUUUUAG
rnacentral:misc_RNA from 1 species